CAGAAUAAGUUUGACUAGUUUAGAGUCGCUCAACUAAAACGUACAAUAGUAGAAACGUAGUAAAACAUAGCAAAAAUCAAAUUAUUUUUAUUUUGAAUUUUGAUUUCUAAAACUUUCACGUAUCAACUUUACAGAAAUAUCAAUUAAAUCCAACAGAUUGAGCUUGGUGCAGAAUCGCCACAAAAAUGGCUGGAUUGGAAGAACUGAGGAAGAAGCUGACACCAUUGUUCGAUUCCGAAAAGGGCUUUUCUUCAUCCUCAACCUUUGACCCAUCCAAUUCUUACACGCUGUCGGACGGUGGAACAGUGAACUUGUUGAGCCAAUCGUAUGGUGUGUACAACAUCAAUGAGCUCGGAUUGCAGAAGUGCACGGCUUCGGCGGCUGUAGAGGACGUGAGCUCCGAGAGUGAGAAGACGUAUCGAUGUGCCUCUCAUGAGAUGAGGGUAUUUGGAGCGAUAGGGAAUGGUGCCAGUAGUGUUGUUCAAAGGGCUAUUCAUAUUCCGACUCAUCGGAUUUUAGCCCUAAAGAAGAUCAAUAUUUUUGAAAAGGAGAAAAGGCAACAGCUUUUGACAGAAAUCAGGACACUGUGUGAAGCACCUUGUUAUGAAGGUCUUGUGGAAUUCCAUGGUGCGUUUUAUACGCCGGACUCUGGCCAAAUUAGCAUAGCUUUGGAGUAUAUGGAUGGGGGGUCUUUGGCUGAUAUCUUAAAGCUGAGAAAGAAAAUUCCUGAACCUGUUCUUUCCUCUAUGUUUCAAAAACUUUUACAUGGAUUGAGCUACUUACAUGGGGUUAGGCAUCUAGUUCACAGAGAUAUAAAGCCUGCAAAUUUGCUUGUGAAUCUUAAGGGGGAGCCAAAAAUAACUGAUUUUGGAAUUAGUGCUGGUUUGGAGAAUUCGGUGGCAAUGUGUGCCACUUUUGUUGGGACGGUUACUUACAUGUCGCCUGAGCGAAUUAGAAAUGACAACUAUUCUUACCCAGCUGAUAUUUGGAGCCUUGGUCUUGCUCUCUUUGAAUGUGGGACUGGAGAAUUCCCAUAUACAGCUACUGAAGGACCUGUUAACCUUAUGUUGCAGAUAUUGGAGGAUCCGUCCCCAUCACCUUCUAAACAUAAUUUUUCUCCAGAGUUCUGUUCGUUUAUUGAAGCCUGUUUACAGAAGGAUGCAGAUGCUAGGCCAACAGCAGAGCAGCUACUCUCACACCCAUUCAUUAUGAAGUACAAAGACACCCAAGUAGACUUGGCAGAAUUUGUAAAAAGCAUGUUUGAUCCAACACAAAAGAUGAAGGACUUGGCAGAUAUGCUGACAAUACAUUAUUACCAACUUUUUGAUGGACCUGAUGAGCUCUGGCAGCAUUCAAAGACCUUAUUUAACGACGAUUCAGUUUUCAGUUUCUCCGGAAAGCAAUCAGUUGGUGGAAAUGAAAUCUUUGAUACUCUAUCAAGCAUAAGAAGUACAUUAGCUGGUGACUGGCCUUCUGAAAGACUUGUACAUGUUGUGGAAAAACUUCAAUGUCGUGCUUAUGGUCAGGAUGGAGUUGCAAUAAGGAUAUCAGGAUCCUUCAUUGUUGGGAAUCAAUUCCUUAUAUGUGGAGAUGGCUUACAACCAGAAGGCUUGCCGAGUUUUAAAGAUCUCUCUAUCGAUCUUUCUAGUAGGAGAAUGGGCACAUUUCGUGAGCAGUUCAUCAUGGGACCAAGCAGUAUUAUUGGCCGCUACUUCAUAUCAAAACAGGAGCUAUAUAUUAUGCAGUGAAGGGCUAAAGUAUAUUGGGAUGAAUGCUAAGUUUAUUGCACUCUUCUUUCUCGGAAUUUAAUGCAAAUACUUUUAACUAAACAAACUCUGCUCGAUGCAUUUGCAUAAUUUUCUUCACUUCAAAGCCUUACAAUCACAAUUACUGGGUAAUGGGAUAUUCCAAUCGGGAAGGCACUGAGUUCAAUCCAUCAGUGAUAUUUGUCCAUUUCCACUUGUUAAAAUUUACUCGGUCUGUACAGCUAUAGUUGCACGCAUGUACAGUCGAUAAGCCAUGCCCAUUUUUGCUGGGGCAUUGCUAAUGUUGAAUUGUAACAUUUAUUUUAAACUUCUUUGCUAAAAGAUUGUAAUCAUAGUUAUAAAUGUGUUAAACUUAAAACCAAUUGACUACAGUGAUCCAAUAUGUGACACAAGCUGAACUAUUACACUUUGUCUUGAAAUGUGAAUAUCUUACAUUCUCUGAAAAA